AUUGAACGCUGGCGGCAGGCCUAACACAUGCAAGUUGAGCGGAUGAGGGUAGCUUGCUAUCUGAUUCAGCGGCGGACGGGUGAGUAAUGCCUAGGAAUCUGCCUGGUAGUGGGGGACAACGCUUCGAAAGGAACGCUAAUACCGCAUACGUCCUACGGGAGAAAGUGGGGGAUCUUCGGACCUCACGCUAUCAGAUGAGCCUAGGUACGAUUAGCUAGUUGGUGAGGUAAAGGCUCACCAAGGCGACGAUCGUUAACUGGUCUGAGAGGAUGAGCAGUCACACUGGAACUGAGACACGGUCCAGACUCCUACGGGAGGCAGCAGUGGGGAAUAUUGGACAAUGGGCGAAAGCCUGAUCCAGCCAUGCCGCGUGUGUGAAGAAGGUCUUCGGAUUGUAAAGCACUUUAAGUUGGGAGGAAGGGCAGUAAGUUAAUACCUUGCUGUUUUGACGUUACCGACAGAAUAAGCACCGGCUAACUUCGUGCCAGCCGCCGCAGUAAUAC
rnacentral:rRNA from 1 species